GUUAGGCCACUAUUUUCAAUGGGCCUCCUCUGAGUAGGUCUAGGAUAGGAUACAACCCUUUCUCACUUCUUAAAAAAAUAUCCCUACUAACCUAACCCCUUUCCUGUAAUGUAUUUUAUAGAUUUUUAAAUUGGGUAUUGUUAUACCCAUUUUUCUGAAAGAAGGAAGGAGUGUAGUCCAAUGUUGUUCACGUGUGUGUGUUUAAGGGAAAUCCAGUGAGGUAAAGGCUGUGAAGUUCUUUGUAGCAGCAGUGCAAUUAAUUAAGGGCUAGAGCAGGUCAGGGAGCCAGGUAAUAAUUGAUAGUUUCAGACGUGAGCAGAAAGACAUGGUCUGCAUACCAUGUCCACCUGUAGAUGGACAGCUGGUCUAUCCAUUGAGAACUUACCAAGGGAUAGACCUAUAAUUCAGUUUUCUUAGAGGCCAGAUCUACUCAGCCCUUGCCACUGCUCAGUAAUCAGGUGUACCAGAAAUCUUAAACCUGUUCUCUGAUUUUUAUAUCACUUUUUAUCCCAAAGUGUUUACUUUGCCAGCACUUCUGCCACCCUGGAAAAAUCCCUGCAGAUGACCAUGGGUUUGGCAUGAUUUGCAAACUGGGCUUAUGUCUUUGUAGCCUUCAAUAUGUCUUCUACAAGAGAGGCUUGGCACUCUAACAAUGAGAUUUACUAUACCAACAUGGCAGAACGUAAAUGUUCAAACCUUCUGUCAAAACCAUGAGCAUAUUGGGGGGGAAAAGACCCUAACAAAAUGGUUGAUCUACAUGGUCAGCCAUGUUGUAUGUCAACAGUGCAUUCCUAUAUCAAGACUGGUAACUUUUUUCUCCAGUCUAUAAUUUUGCUUAAAUCAGUAUCCUAUUUAGAUAUAGGUGGGGUGGCUGGCUGUGCAUCCACAUGCAGGCUUCAACCUAGCAAGGAUUCCAAAGUCUGCUUUAUUAAUUCCACCAGACCCAGGAGAAAAGGAUGAAGCAUUAAGCUGAUACUCAGUCCACAGACUUCAGGCUACAGACAGGGGUGGAGGACACAAGUGGACUGACUAUGGAUAUAGGACUAUGGAUAUAGGAUAACCCUCCAUGGAGAAAAGCCUGAAUAUAAAUAGCAUACCCAGACCCAGAAGAUCCUGUCAGCAGCAUUGUAUGAUGAAUAACCAUGUCUUUAAAAAAGGCGUGUGUGUGUGUGUGUGUGUGUGUGUGUGUCUUUAUAAAUAGCUAUGUGCUUUAUCCAGUGACUGCUAGCCAGGGGAUAUGCUGGGAGAAGCUUCUUCCUUCACAAGAUGAACAAGGAAGCUAUUUGUGCAACGUGUUCCAUGUGCACAUCAGAGCACACAAGGAGCUCUGGACCAGGAGGAGGCAUAAUGUUAAAAAUCAUUUGCAAGUAUGAUCCAGUGGAUACUUACGAUGGGUUUUAUCAAUAUUGACUUCAGAAGCUGCUAGCACAGUUUGCAUCAAAUUACCCAAAUUGCUACUUGCUGUAAUUUGCAUCAGACUAUAAAAACACCAUAUUAUUUUAGUUUUCUAGAAGAGGGGAGAUUGUAGAACUAAAUGGAACAUGUACCUAAUUAAGCAUGGGGGAACCAAGCUGAGCUCCUGUGCAUGGAUUGGCAGUUUACACUCCAAUUAAUGGGACCUAACCAAGCUAACUAUGAUCAGGGUCGCAACCCAAACACAAAACCACAUUUAUGUUGCUAUUUUUUCAGAUUAAUAAAUUUAUAAAAUUUCUGCUUGUGUCUGUGAUCAGCUGCUAGGCAGAACAAAAAUUCUGGAUAAAAUCAGAUGCAAGAUCUUAGUUACUUAGUGUAUAGUAGUACAACAGUGCACUUAGGUCAGGUGCUCUGCAAUCCUUGCACUAGCGCAACAUUGUACCCAAGCCAAUGCAACUGUUCUGACAUGCAUGCAUUGUGAAAGGUCUUGUAGGGAAGUGGGGAAAUGUGUGAGUGACAACAUUUAACUGCAGUCCUGUCCUUGUCAAUAUGAUAAAGUUUUCUCUCACCCCUGGUUAGUGCUGGACCUCCAGGCUCAUCUGCAGCAUUUGCUAGAUCUAAAUAAUUCCUCAGCCAGUCUCCUUUGAAAAUAAGUCUGUUUGGCUACCAGUAUUUUAUGUUCUGGCUGCUCUGGAACGGAUUACCUGUCCCCUUAGGGCCCCUCACAAAAACAUUUCUGGCUGUAGGACUGAAUUAGAGGCUUAUAGGACAAACCUUCCUGGGGAUCAAUGUAUGACACUUUAGUACUCAUUGUGACUCGUUGGCUCGGCUCCAGAGUGGUGUGGGCUAGAACUCUGCAAAUUGGAUACUCCUUUGAAUGAAAAGUGAUGGUGGGGGCAAUUUUCACCACUUUCCCAGCACCCUGCAGUUCCUUAUACCCCUGAAAAUGUAUUCUGGGCAGUUGGGGAACUAUCCUGCCCUGUGUACUAUAGAGGAUUAUGCUAUCUCACAGUAUAAUUUAGGGUUGCCAUACGUCCAGAAUUUCCCGAACAUAUCCAGAAUACAGUGGUACCUCAGGUUACAUACGCUUCAGGUUACAGAUGCUUCAGGUUACAGACUCCGCUAACCCAGAAAUAGUACCUCGGGUUAAGAACUUUGCUUCAGGAUGAGAACAGAAAUUGGGCUCCGGCGGCGCAGCCGCAGCAGGAGCCCCAUUAACUAAAGUGGUGCUUCAGCUUAAGAACAGUUUCAGGUUAACAACGGACCUCCAGAAUGAAUUAAGUAUUUAACCCAAGGUACCAACUGUACUGCAGCCACAGGGAAAAUCUAGACCUUUAGCACCCCAUGUCGGCAGUGCCGUUUUUGUCAUUUCCCUCCCUCAGAAAUAUCUCAAAAAUGUCCAAUUUCUUUGCAAUUUUGCAAAAAGUUCAACAACUCUUAUGUCCGGAUUGCCCUUUUUGAAAUAUGGCAACCCUACUACACUUGUAACUACAGGGACAAUAAACAGGACCUAGGGAGAAAGAACAUUUGGGAUUGGGGUUCUGGGUAUAGAAGAGUUCCUUCCAGUUGCAAAAAGGUGUUGGAAUCCACAGUCUCCUUCUUUGCAAGCUGGAUGCUCCCAUGGGAAGAAGAGAUGAACUAUUUGCUGAUUUUACACUGCAGCUCUCAUCUUAGAAUCAUAGAAUUGUAGAGUUGGAAGGGACCGUGAGGCUCAUCUAGUCCAACCCCCUGCAAUGAAGGGAUAUGUAUGCUUAACAUGGGAUUCAAACCCAAGACCCUUAGAUUAAGAGUCUCAUGCCUGAGCUACUAUUCCAUAGUAAGGUAAACAUGAGUCCUCCUUUGUUUUAUAAAUCCAGAGUGAACUUAUUUUAUAAAUCCAGAAUGAAUCUAGCCUGAACCUCAAUCAAUUAUAUCAAAAAUAUGCAUGUUGUUCACUUCAGAUUUAAAGAUUCAGAGAGAAGUGCAGAGAGCAGACUCCUUUGUCCUGCAUGGGAACAUGACUGACAGAUAAUGCAGCUGUUUCUACUGAUACUAAAGUAUUCAUCAGACUGACUACCAUAGAUUAUAGGAGAGCAUUUCAUUCAACAGUCAGCAGUUGGGUUUUUAUACUCACUCUGCAAAAUUCUUUAAUUUUUCCUCAGGGACAGUAUUACUCAUUGACUUCAUAAAGCCUUUUCUUUCCCUGUCAAUAUCUCAGGUAAUAUAUUAAAUAUAUUAAACAGAAGACUUAAAACAGCUUCAGAACAACUGAUGAUCAGUUCCACCUCUCUCUACUAUACAAAGGGAGAAAAAGUAGGGGGGAAAUACAUUCAGACAAAAUUCAAAGAGAGUUUAAUGGAAAAGAUGUGACAGAAAUCUUAUUAUGAUUUCCAUACCACAUUACAGUAUCUCUCAUGGCAUUGAGAGAUAGUUAAGGCUCCUAAGAUCUAAUUGAUAUUGAAGAACAGGUACCCAGAAUUCUUAUGGGUUCUAUAUAAAGUUAUACAGUGUUUCCACAAUGCCACAAUUUCCAAACUGACAUAUUAAACUAACUAUGCCAAAUUGUAUUCUCGACUAAUAUUCAUGGCUGGAAAUGAUGUUCCAUUUUGCAGUUUCUUUGGUAUGCGCUGUGUGGUAGUGGCUGAAAAGCUUGCUCCAGUUAAAUAAUUUGAAUACAUUUUGUUAUGUACUGAAGUUCUCACCCUGGGCCAGCAGGGGGAUACUGUAGAUAGUUAUGCAAAUAAGGGAUCGAAAGUGACGUUCAGUGAUUGGAUAGUUUUAGAAAAUUGUUAGAGUUACGUUGUACUCGAGCUCUAUAUAAGCAGGCUGACUGAACCCUUCAGUUCAGUUCUGUUCUGGCCUCUGAAUAAACAAGAGCUGUUUGAAGAAUCUCUGUGUCGUCUGAUAUGUUCACCCACAACUUAACACAUUUCUUAUCCCAGCCCUGUUUCAGUGUAUUCAAUGUUCCCUUCUACCAUCAGGUGAGAUGAAGAGUAGGGUCAGGCUUGAUGGCCUCUUGUGGCACCCCCCCUCCACCAUACGUAUGUUGGCAGGAAGGUCUGAGGUGGGAACCAGCUCUUCUUAUCUAGGCUUCACUUAAGACUUCGUUUAUUUGAUUAAAUUUCUAUCCCAACCUUGUCCCCAAUAGAGCCCCAGGAGGCAAACAACUCACUAGUAAAACAGUUACAAGUAAAAACAAAAUAUAUAUCAUUUAAAUCAUUUAAAAACAAUUUAGACAUCUAAAGAUACUUCAAAACCGCUAAACAUUUCAAGGUUACUGGGAACAGUACCUUUUAACCAUCAAAUGCCUGGGUAAAAUGGUUUGGGACUCAGCGUUUUUCAAACUUGGGUUUCCAACUGUUUUUGGACUACAGCUCCCAUCAUCCCUAGCUAGCAGGAACCUGUGCUUUCUCCAGGCAUUCCUGCAGCUGCCUGUCUACUACCCUCUCAAUCACCUCGUCCAGGAAGGCAAUAUUAGAGAUUGGCGGGAGUUUUCUAAAACCUCUGGAACCCAGGUAGGCUUAUUCAGGAGAGGCCAGACCACUGGAUCUUUCAAGCUCCAGUAGGGAGGCAUUAACCUGGUCCCAUCCAGUUAAUCCCCCUCCUCCUAAAUUUUAACUGCCACAGUGAGCAGGGGACUGAAAUGAAUGGUGAUUGCAUGGAUGGACCAAUGGAAAGUUCACUGUAUUGGUUGCCUAAUCACUUUUAAUUAUGCCAAGUGUUAAGGCAUAAAGUUAAUGUAUAAAGUCAAGCAGAGAUUAAUAUACUUUACUUGGCAGGAUACCAGUUUGUUACUCCAAGUCUUACAGUGCAUGUCUACUCAGAAGGAAGACCUAGUGAAUGCAGUGGGGUUUACUCCAAGUUAAAUGAGGUUAGGAUUGCAGCCUAUUUUAGCAAUGCAAACUGAAAUCCAAAUGAGCUAGAAGGGGGAGGGAGGAAUUUACAUCUGUGUUCCCCACAUUCCGCUUUGUGAGCUAUUGUUUAUCUUACACUGUUGCCCAAAGCUAGACAUGCAUUUAUUAAGCCCUUUAUAUAUGCAAAUGCUAAUUUAAAAUAGGGCAAAAAAGCUGGUGAAACAUGAAAAGCUCCUUUAAUCUAGUGUAUUUAUUAUAGCGUGUUUUUGUUGUUGUUUAACUCUCAUUAAUUCGACCCAUUAACUAAAUGACCAAGUAGAUCUAGCUCUCAGCUUGCACAUAAGGUGAUGGAUGCUAUGGCAGUAUAGCCAUUAUUCUGCAUUACACAGUCAUUUUUAAAAGCCAGAAACUGAAAACUGGUGUUUGUCUGUGAAGUAAUUGCUGUUCAUCAGGUUUACGGAAAUGGAAAAUACAUGCAUAGACUUCUUGAUUGCUAUAAUAACAUUCUUAGUGAAGUCAUUUGGUAUGUUACUGUUUCUAGCUCUAUUAUUUGUGAAACCUCAUUGCAGCAGGACACACACACACACACACACACACACACACACAGUUUCUAAGUUCUAGUUGACUAACUUGUACAAAUACACUAUUCCGCCCCUCUCCCCAUGAAUAGUCUUAGCUUCUCAUUAUUCAGUCUCCAGAUUUCCACAUAAGUGGGAUUUUUAAAAUAUAUAUAUAUAAGUUAUCAUGAUAAUCAGUAUACCCAGUAUAUAAAUUUGUAUACCCUUCAUUCAAAAAUCACUGGGUAUUUUAGUGCGCAUUUAUCUUAAUAUGCUAAAUUUUUAUAUGCAAUUUUGUUUGAUAUGCACAAUUUUGCAUAGCAUUUUCACCUAAUAUAAAGUGUUUUUGUACGUUAUCUUCACUGAUGUUUGUAUUUUUAUGCAUACUUUACCCUAGUAUAUGCAUUUUUGUAUAUAUUUCUGGGAAUGAGAACUCCCUUGCAAAAUUGAGAUAAGUGUCAAUUUUGAAGAAUGGCUGUAUUUUGGUUCAUGGCUUAUUUCAGAAAGUGUGGGUUUCAUAGGUUCCCCUUUAAAUGCGAACUGAACCAAAUUUUUCACCCAUUUCUAGUCCUGACCUUUCUUAGACUCACAUUUGUCUGUCAAAACAUAAUUGGGAAAUGUAUAGCCAUUCAUAUGGCUAAUAGUAUUUCCUAUGUUUAUGGCAACCUUUUGUCCAUUUACCAGGAAAUGGCUUGUUGGCUAUAUCUCUGAUCUCCAGAUCCAUAAGUUUGUGACUAGGACUUCUGGUUCAUAGCAUAAAGCCUUUUGUGUGACUCAGCAUUUUGACUAUUUCACAUUUAAUGGCUUGAUUAAUAUUCACCUUACAUAUGACUAGAUAAUAUGUGUUCAUCUCAUGCAGAUGACAAAGAAAUAAUGCACUUUUUCAGCAGCAUCCAUGUACAUUUAAUAUAUUAAACUAUAUAUUUAAAAUGUUAAUGUAUUGAAGGUGUGCUCAUGCUGGACAAGCAAGGGACUCACCAUGUGAAUUUUCUUGAGUAGCCUAAAGUUGAAACUACUUCAUAACCAGACCCAGGAUGUCGAUUCUCUGGAAUAUAUAUGCUAACAAUAGAUAUUUCACAAAUGUUAAUUAGCAUAUAGAAGGUGUGGGGAACCUGUGUCAUCCAGGUGUUGUUGGUCUUUGUCUCAUCAGCCUCAGACGCCACAAGCAAUGGGCAGGGAUGAUGACAGCUGCAGUCUAAGAACAUCUGGAGGGCCACAGGUUCCCUGACUCCAGUUUGGAGAAACUGAAUAGAUCAAAAUAAUCCAAUGGAUCUUAUCAAAUGCUUCAUGGUCAGUCAUAGGAUCUGUAACAUAUGUCUGUUUUAAAUUCUCACUAUGUUUCUAGAGAUAGGUCUAUAGUACCCCUGGGUCUCUUCUAGCCUGUCCUUUUAUAUUGGCCAUUUUUCUUGGGUUUGGUAAAGCAAGAUUUAUUUCUCCUUCUUUUAGCUUCAUAAGAGCAAAAUGAAGAGAUGGACUGCUAGUAGGCUGUGAAGAAAUGAUUAACUUUUAGUUCCCUGCUGAUGGUUGAGUUAUACAUGGCAUUGAUCUGUGGCCAGUGGCAUUAAUGUAUUAGGAUAUUUUUUUCCAGGGCUCUUGAUAUGCCUGUUUAAUGAAGUUCAGAUUUCAGUAGUAUUCCUGUUGAGUCCAAGUUAACUAUGCAAAUUGCUCAGCAGGUGGCUUCUUUGCAACCAUUCUCAAUGCAUGAAAAUAGAAGGAUAUAUAUCCAUCCAAAGAAGAAUGCUCGCCAAUCACAUUUCAUUCCUUGUCUCCAAAAACUCAUUUUGUCUUUCCAGAUAUAAACACCCUUUCCCAUUGUUUCUGAAUCAGAAUUGUUUAUGCCUUGGGUAGUUUUUAUCUUGUGCUGUUACUGACAAAAGAGAAAUAUUCAAUAUGCAAAAGCAAUAUGCCAAUUUACAUUUUAGUCUGCUUCUCUCCUCUCCUUGUCCCAUGAGAGUAAGAUGGUUUUAAUUCUGUGAUAUUUCAGGGGAGGUGUAGCCCUACCUAGUAUUUUAUUUGUGUGCGGUCAUCUACCACAUUUAUAAUCUGAAAGAAUAUUCUUUGUAGGCAGGCAAUGCAAUCUCCUAUUUAUUCAGAAUCAGUUGUGAAAGAACAUGGAUCAGAAUGCUUUGAAGAUCAUGAGAAUAGAAAUGUCAGAAGAGACUUGCCGGAUCAGGCCAAAGGUCCAUCAGCCCAACAUCCAUUUCUCAUAGUGGCCAGCCAAUAUGCCAACGAGAAGCCGGCAAACAAGACAUCAACGCAACACCACUCUCCACAGUUGUUCUCUCCUGCAAAUGGUAUUUAGACACAUACCACCUCCAAUUCUGGAGCCACCAACUGGCACGACUAGCGGCAUAUCCUAUGCUGCAAUUACUUUUAUAAUGAAAAAGAAAGAGAGAAGGUUGGAGAAAGAAGGACAAAGAGCCUGCACAAAUAGCUAGAAGGAAAGCUGGGAGCCUGUCCUUGUGGACACAAAAUUACACCUUUGCAAAAAUGCAUAUGCAGCAGCAGACGGCAUGCAAUUCUACAUGAGAAACUUUUCCACACGCUGACCUGUACCAUGUUAUUGUUCUGUUCUCUUGUGGGUUGGAGGGUUCACAAAGCUGAAGACAUUCCAAAGGGAAGCUUAAGUUCAAAAAGAUUAAAACAUUCAGCCUAAUAACCUGAUGAAAGAUGGAGAAUUUACAUGGCUUGUCAAGUUUUUGAACCUGCCAAUCACAUCUCUAGAUAUAGCAUGCUGAUUACUGCAGUACCCUGGUUCUAUCAGAGGAACAACUAAAUGAAUAUACCCACAUGGCCCUUCUCAUUCAAUCAAUGAAUUUUAUACAGUGAAGGGAACAACUCAUAAUAAAUAGUUGGUUCGGGAAUAGAGCCAGUUCCAUAAUGUUUGAAAAGUGCUUUCAGUCAAAUGCAGAAUGGUAUUAUCUUCCUAAUGAUAUAUAUGGUUGACACCAGUUUAGCCCUAAUAUACAGGAAAAUGUAGCCCAAAUUUAUUAAAUUAACUAUAUAAUGUGUUCUAAUAAACAAAGGAGAGAUUAAAAAAUAAAGGAUUUCAAAAGCAUUCUGUUGGCAAUAUGAAGUUUUCUUGAAUGAGAUUUAUAGAUACAAAUCUUUCAACAAACAUGAACGUGCACACACACACACACAAUUUUUAACAUAGUUUUUAAUUGGAUUUUCACAAUUAU
rnacentral:lncRNA from 1 species